rnacentral:misc_RNA from 1 species
GAUGAAGAACGUAGCGAAAUGCGAUACGUAGUGUGAAUUGCAGAAUUCAGUGAAUCAUCGAAUCUUUGAACGCACAUUGCACCUCUCGGUAUUCCGGGAGGUAUGCCUGUUCGAGCGUCAUUUGUACUCUCAAGCUCUGCUUGGUGUUGGGUGUUUGUUCCGCCUCUGUGUGUGAACUCGCCUCAAAACAAUUGGCAGCCGGCGUACUUGUUUCGGAGCGCAGCACAUUUUGCGAUCCAGAUCAACGUACAGCGGCAUCCAAGAAGCCUUAUUUAACGCUCUUGACCUCGGAUCAGGUAGGGAUACCCGCUGAACUUAAGCAUAUCAAUAAGCGGAGGA